rnacentral:rRNA from 1 species
UACGUAGGAGGCAAGCGUUGUCCGGAGUUACUGGGCGUAAAGCGCACGCAGGCGGUUCAGUCAGUCUGUAGGGACAGGGCACAGCUCAACUGUGUCAGGCUUACGGAAACUGCUGAACUUGAGGGCUUCAGAGGGAUGGGGAAUUCCGGGUGGAGUGGUGAAAUGCGUAGAUAUCUGGAAGAACACCAAAGGCGAAGGCAGUGUCCUGGGUGGUCGCUGACGCUGAGAGGCGAAAGCCAGGGGAGCGAACGGG